GAGUCUGUAGCUCAGCUGGAUAGAGCAUCGGCCUUCUAAGCCGAGGGUAGAGGGAUUCGAAUCCCUUCAGGCUCA
rnacentral:tRNA from 1 species